UUGCUUUCAUGCGAAGGAACCAGCAGUCAUCCGCUUGCAAGUACAUGCUCUUCCUUAACCGGUAGACUGUAUAAGUAAGCAUUUUACCUUGAGAAAAACAGAGUGUUCCAGGCAGGUUUGUCCGGAAUGCAUUAGCAUGGAAUAAUAGAAUAUGACUGAGGUCGAUUUAUUGGUUAGAGACUUUAGUAAUGAUUAAUAGGAACAAUCGGGGGCAUUGGUACUUGUCAGUCAGAGGUGAAAUUCUUGGAUUUGACAAAGACUAACUGAUGCGAAAGCGUUUGCCAAGAAUGUUUUCAUUAAUCAAGAACGAAAGUUAGGGGAUCAAAGACGAUCAGAUACCGUCCUAGUCUUAACUAUAAACUAUACCGACUCGGAUUCAGAUGAAUAUCAAAGUUCAUUUGGGACCGUAGGAGAAAUCAAAGUC
rnacentral:rRNA from 1 species